rnacentral:rRNA from 1 species
GGUAGCGCCUCGUGAAUUCAUCUCCGGGGGUAGAGCACUGUUUCGGCUAGGGGGCCAUCCCGGCUUACCAACCCGAUGCAAACUGCGAAUACCGGAGAAUGUUAUCACGGGAGACACACGGCGGGUGCUAACGUCCGUCGUGAAGAGGGAAACAACCCAGACCGCCAGCUAAGGUCCCAAAGUCAUGGUUAAGUGGGAAACGAUGUGGGAAGGCCCAGACAGCCAGGAUGUUGGCUUAGAAGCAGCCAUCAUUUAAAGAAAGCGUAAUAGCUCACUGGUCGAGUCGGCCUGCGCGGAAGAUGUAACGGGGCUAAACCAUGCACCGAAGCUGCGGCAGCGACACUGUGUGUUGUUGGGUAGGGGAGCGUUCUGUAAGCCUGUGAAGGUGUGUCGUGAGGC